rnacentral:misc_RNA from 1 species
AUGGAGGAGGGAAGGAAAGAGAGAAGGGAAGGUGAGAGAAGAGAAAGAAGACUGGUAAAGGUUUGCUUGGACAUGCGAAAAAUUUGACACCAGCGAGGGUCGAAGUCCGACGCGGAGGAAAGGAGGCGAUAGAAGAAGGACUGAGAAGGAGGAGAAAGGGAAGGAGAGGGAGAAAAAGGGAUAGAAGAGAGGAAGUAUUCGAGGGAGAGAGAUUGGGAGGGAAGUAGGAGGAGAUCAUUUUGGGUGAGGAAAGAG